rfam:Ovis aries breed Texel chromosome 3, whole genome shotgun sequence.
UCCCUGGUGGCUCAGACGGUAAAGCAUCUGUCUACAAUGUAGGAGACCCAGGUUCGAUCCCUGGGUUGGGAA